AACCUGCUCCGCGAGCGUGGUGACGGGAAGCCGGUGCGAAUCCGGCGCGGUCCCGCCACUGUGACCGGGGAGCCGCCCCCCACGAGGCAGCCACUGGGACCCGAAGGGUCCCGGGAAGGCAGGGGGACGGCGCCGAUCCGGGAGCCAGGAGACCGGCCACGCGAGAGGGACACGC
rnacentral:ncRNA from 2 species